rnacentral:rRNA from 1 species
AUCGAUGUCCAAACCAUCCUGAACCCUAAACAUGCCCAAUCUCAUCUGAUCUCAGAAGCUAAGCAGGGGUGGGCUCAGUUAGUACUUGACCGACAGAAACAAUACUUUACUUUGGCUUAUGUGUGGUAUUUUUU